rnacentral:rRNA from 1 species
UGAGGAAUAUUGGUCAAUGGACGGAAGUCUGAACCAGCCAAGUAGCGUGCAGGAAGACGGCCCUAUGGGUUGUAAACUGCUUUUGUAUGGGGAUAAAGUCAAUCACGUGUGAUUGUUUGCAGGUACCAUACGAAUAAGGACCGGCUAAUUCCGUGCCAGCAGCCGCGGUAAUACGGAAGGUUCGGGCGUUAUCCGGAUUUAUUGGGUUUAAAGGGAGCGUAGGCCGGAGAUUAAGUGUGUUGUGAAAUGUAGACGCUCAACGUCUGACUUGCAGCGCAUACUGGUUUCCUUGAGUACGCACAACGUUGGCGGAAUUCGUCGUGUAGCGGUGAAAUGCUUAGAUAUGACGAAGAACUCCGAUUGCGAAGGCAGCUGACGGGAGCGCAACUGACGCUGAAGCUCGAAGGUGCGGGUAUCGAACAGGAUUAGAUACCCUGGUAGUCCGCACGGUAAACGAUGGAUGCUCGCUGUUGGUACCUAGUAUCAGCGGCUAAGCGAAAGCAUUAAGCAUCCCACCUGGGGAGUACGCCGGCAACGGUG